UAACAGGAGUGUUAGGAAAUUGCCAACCCGAGCUUUUAGAUUUUUUUACCAACAAGUAAAGGGACUUGUCAAGCGAGCGAAGAGUGCUUCGCUCAUCGUUUUUCGUAUCAGCUUCUGUGACUCUGGAUUGCAAGUGAGUUGCAGAAUCCAAUAAUUUGUUAGACUCCAUCUCUUUCCUUUCCUUUCCAAAUAUCGUCUCAAAGGGUGAUUCUUUACCUUUUAGUGUUUUUUGUCGUUCUUGCCAAUCUUUUUCACCCACCGAUCCCUUCUUGAAAUAAAAUUCUGCAGGUAAAGGAUCACUCAGCUCAUUCCAAAGUUCCGCAUUAUAUUUAUAUAUAGAUUUUUCGAAUUCGGAUGGUUGGCGAGUAAGAAUUGGCGAUCUAAUUAAAAUUGUACCCACUGAACAACCUAAGAUAUGUUAGCAAUCAUGUACAUCAAAGGUAAUUUUUUUAUUUAUAUUUAAUAUCCCUAGAUAAUUCAUUUUCAUUUUUUAAUUCUGUACCUUUUAGAGGAGUCGAGUUAGACAAGGGUUUAGAGGAUUGAAUGGAAUUUCGUACAGAAAUGUG